rnacentral:rRNA from 1 species
AGCGAACGCUGGCGGCAGGCUUAACACAUGCAAGUCGAACGCUCGUAGCAAUACGGGAGUGGCAGACGGGUGAGUAACGCGUGGGAAUAUGCCUUUUGGUUCGGAAUAACUCAGGGAAACUUGAGCUAAUACCGGAUAAGCCCGUGAGGGGAAAGAUUUAUCGCCAAAAGAUUAGCCCGCGUCCGAUUAGCUAGUUGGUGAGGUAAUGGCUCACCAAGGCGACGAUCGGUAGCUGGUCUGAGAGGAUGAUCAGCCACAUUGGGACUGAGACACGGCCCAAACUCCUACAGGAGGCAGCAGUGGGGAAUAUUGGACAAUGGGCGCAAGCCUGAUCCAGCCAGGCCGCGUGAGUGAUGAAGGCCUUAGGGUUGUAAAGCUCUUUUGUCCGGGAAGAUAAUGACGGUACCGGAAGAAUAAGCCCCGGCUAACUUCGUGCCAGCCGCCGCGGUAA